rnacentral:rRNA from 1 species
UACGAAGGGUGCAAACGUUGCUCGGAAUUAUUGGGCGUAAAGCGCACGUAGGCGGCAUUGCAAGUCGGAUGUGAAAUCUUAUGGCUUAACCAUAAAAGUGCAUCCGAAACUGCAGUGCUUGAGUACUUAAGAGGAUCGCGGAAUUCCCGGUGUAGAGGUGAAAUUCGUAGAUAUCGGGAGGAACACCGAUGGCGAAGGCAGCCCCCUGGGUCAAGAUUGACGCUCAUGCACGAAAGCGUGGGAGCAAACAGG